rnacentral:lncRNA from 1 species
GAAGAGCUCAGGUGGAGUUCGAGUUUCGUCGACGUCGCGCCGUGGUGCCGUUCGAGCGUGUCUUCGUCGUCGUAGCAUCGCGAGGAGACUGGGCGAAGGUGCGAUUCCGCCGUUCUCGACGUCGCGCCGGAUUGGGAUUAGCUAUCGAGGUGGGUUAAUCGUCGAUUUGUCUUCUAAGUGUAUAGUUGGUUGACAUGUGUUGUUGUGUUGAUAGA